rnacentral:rRNA from 1 species
CUUCCAGGAAAAGCCUCUAAGCUUCAGAUAGUCAGGAAUCGUACCCCAAACCGACACAGGUGGUCGGGUAGAGAAUACCAAGGCGCUUGAGAGAACUCGGGUGAAGGAACUAGGCAAAAUGGUACCGUAACUUCGGGAGAAGGUACGCUCUUGAUGGUGAAGUCCCUCGCGGAUGGAGCUGACGAGAGUCGCAGAUACCAGGUGGCUGCAACUGUUUAUUAAAAACACAGCACUGUGCAAAAUCGCAAGAUGACGUAUACGGUGUGACGCCUGCCCGGUGCCGGAAGGUUAAUUGAUGGGGUUAGCGCAAGCGAAGCUCUUGAUCGAAGCCCCGGUAAACGGCGGCCGUAACUAUAACGGUCCUAAGGUAGCGAAAUUCCUUGUCGGGUAAGUUCCGACCUGCACGAAUGGCGUAAUGAUGGCCACGCUGUCUCCACCCGAGACUCAGUGAAAUUGAAAUCGCUGUGAAGAUGCAGUGUACCCGCGGCUAGACGGAAAGACCCCGUGAACCUUUACUACAGCUUGGCACUGAACAUUGAACCUACAUGUGUAGGAUAGGUGGGAGGCUAUGAAGACGUGACGCCAGUUGCGUUGGAGCCGUCCUUGAAAUACCACCCUUGUAUGUUUGAUGUUCUAACUUAGACCCAUUAUCUGGGUUGAGGACAGUGCCUGGUGGGUAGUUUGACUGGGGCGGUCUCCUCCCAAAGAGUAACGGAGGAGCACGAAGGUGGGCUAAUCACGGUUGGACAUCGUGAGGUUAGUGCAAUGGCAUAAGCCCGCUUAACUGCGAGAAUGACGGUUCGAGCAGGUGCGAAAGCAGGUCAUAGUGAUCCGGUGGUUCUGUAUGGAAGGGCCAUCGCUCAACGGAUAAAAGGUACUCCGGGGAUAACAGGCUGAUACCGCCCAAGAGUUCAUAUCGACGGCGGUGUUUGGCACCUCGAUGUCGGCUCAUCACAUCCUGGGGCUGAAGUCGGUCCCAAGGGUAUGGCUGUUCGCCAUUUAAAGUGGUACGCGAGCUGGGUUUAGAACGUCGUGAGACAGUUCGGUCCCUAUCUGCCGUGGGCGUUGGAAGAUUGAAGGGGGCUGCUCCUAGUACGAGAGGACCGGAGUGGACGAACCUCUGGUGUUCGGGUUGUGUCGCCAGACGCAUUGCCCGGUAGCUAAGUUCGGAAUUGAUAAGCGCUGAAAGCAUCUAAGCGCGAAGCGAGCCCUGAGAUGAGUCUUCCCUGAUACUUUAAGUAUCCUAAAGGGUUGUUCGAGACUAGAACGUUGAUAGGCAGGGUGUGUAAGCGUUGUGAGGCGUU